CAACUUCCUUUCAAACUCCUCAAACAAAUUUUCAAAGGCCCAACCCAAACUCUUACCCAAAUCAAGGUCCAAAUUCAUGUCAUAACCCAAUUCAAACUCCUUUGAAUCCUCCCGGUUUCAAUGAUUCGGAUAAACGCCUCAAUUCCUUAGAAAAAAGUUUGGAAGCCUUAGUGAAAUCGCAAACUAAUUUGACCCAAUCUCAACAAACUUUCAUGACAACCCUAACCCAAGAUAGGCAAAUCUUGCAUUCUAACGUGCAAGCCGUGUCUAAGUUAGAGGCCCAAUUGAGUCAAUUAGCUAGCGCGUUGUGUGAGCGAGAAAAGAACAAGUUGCCAAGUCAACCCGAGGUCAAUCCUAAGUUUCCUCUCAAUCAAAG
rnacentral:lncRNA from 1 species